UACGGAGGGGGCUAGCGUUGUUCGGAAUUACUGGGCGUAAAGCGCACGUAGGUGGCUUUGUAAGUUAGAGGUGAAAGCCCGGGGCUCAACUCCGGAAUUGCCUUUAAGACUGCAUCGCUAGAACGUCGGAGAGGUAAGUGGAAUUCCGAGUGUAGAGGUGAAAUUCGUAGAUAUCAGGAGGAAUACCGAUGGCGAAGGCAGGUCUCUGGGCUAUAACUGACGCUCAUGCACGAAAGCGUGGGGAGCAAACAGG
rnacentral:rRNA from 1 species